rnacentral:rRNA from 1 species
GGGCCUACCCCAAAAAGAUAAAUAAUUCAACAUCGAGGUCAUAAUCUUUUUCUUUUAUAAGAACUUUAAGAAAAAAUUGUGCUGUUAUCCCUACGGUAGCUUGGUUGAGUCCCAUCUUGAGGAUAAAAAGAGAGGGAGAAAUAAGAUUUAGUUUUUUACCGCCCCAGUUCAACAUAAGUAAAAGUUCGAUAGGGUCUUGUCGUCCUUCUUUGUUAUACAAGUUUUUUUACUUGAAAGAAAAAUUAAAAUAGUUAAGGUAAUAAAGAAACUCAUAUGUCAGACCUUUCAUACUAGCCUUUAAUUAGAAGGCAAAUGAUUAUGCUACCUUAGCACAGAUUGAUUGCGGCUAUUAAAAUAAUCAUUGAGCAGGACCUACUGAAUAUAAUUUCAUUCAGAAAUGUUUUUGGUAAACAGACAAUAAAUUUAGAGGCCGAGUUCAUGGACCUAAAGUUAAAGUGGGGCAGAGAUAGGGCGGGUUAAAUUAACAAAGUAAUGAGAGUUUUACUAAUAAAAUCAUUGUCGGGUUUAAGAGGAGGCUUUCUUUUAGUACAAUUUAAAACUAAGGAUAGUUUGAGUUUGAAAACUUAGUGGACACUAUUAAUCCUGGCUCUUAAGAGAGAGAGAGGGUGGUAAUAAUUAAAAAAGAUUAUCCCUUUUUAAAUUUUAGUAUUAUUACUUUUAACGAAAACCAGAUAUUAAAGAACGCGAAUGGAAUUUCAUCUCUAUACUCACUUUGGCAAACUUUGUGACACAAGCUUGACAAGGGAAAAUAGGUCGUUUCUAUUUCGGGAAGAUUUUCUAAAAAAGUGGGGUUGACUUUCCCUGAUACCAAAGGUACAUAAAAUUUCUAUUAUUCAAUUUGGUGGAAUUCCCCUUACGGUAAAAUAAAAAGAAGACGCAUACGGUAAUAAAGUAAGUAUUUGUUUAGAUAGAGCAUUAAACAAAGAGCU